GCAUCCAUUGUCUAAUGGAUAUGACAUAGGUCUUCUAAAUUUUUUGUAUAGGUUCAAAUCCUAUUGGAUGUA
rfam:Picea glauca, whole genome shotgun sequence.